rnacentral:rRNA from 1 species
AAGCUCGUAGUUGAAUUUCGGGGUUCUACCGUUGGUCGGGCAAUAGUCUGUACUGGCGUGUAGAAUUUCUACCUUCUGGGGAACUAUCAUGUUAUUUAUUUAGCGUGGUAGGAAACCAGGACCUUUACCUUGAAAAAAUUAGAGUGUUCAAAGCAGGCUUACGUCUGAAUACAUUAGCAUGGAAUAAUAAAAUAGGACGGUGGUCCUGUUUUGUUGGUUUCUGAAUCACCGUAAUGAUUAAUAGGGAUAGUUGGG